rnacentral:rRNA from 1 species
UACGAAGGGGGCUAGCGUUGUUCGGAGUUACUGGGCGUAAAGGGCGCGUAGGCGGCGCACCAAGUCAGGCGUGAAAGCCCUGGGCUCAACCCGGGAAUUGCGCUUGAGACUGGUGUGCUCGCGUACGGGAGAGGAUAGUGGAAUUCCCAGUGUAGAGGUGAAAUUCGUAGAUAUUGGGAAGAACACCGGUGGCGAAGGCGGCUAUCUGGACCGUAACUGACGCUGAGGCGCGAAAGCGUGGGGAGCAAACAGG